AUGAACGCUGGCGGCGUGCCUCACACAUGCAAGUCGAGCGAACGGACGAGAAGCUUGCUUCUCUGAUGUUAGCGGCGGACGGGUGAGUAACACGUGGAUAACCUACCUAUAAGACUGGGAUAACUUCGGGAAACCGGAGCUAAUACCGGAUAAUAUUUUGAACCGCAUGGUUCAAAAGUAAAAGACGGUCUUGCUGUCACUUAUAGAUGGAUCCGCGCUGCAUUAGCUAGUUGGUAAGGUAACGGCUUACCAAGGCAACGAUGCAUAGCCGACCUGAGAGGGUGAUCGGCCACACUGGAACUGAGACACGGUCCAGACUCCUACGGGAGGCAGCAGUAGGGAAUCUUCCGCAAUGGGCGAAAGCCUGACGGAGCAACGCCGCGUGAGUGAUGAAGGUCUUCGGAUCGUAAAACUCUGUUAUUAGGGAAGAACAUAUGUGUAAGUAACUGUGCACAUCUUGACGGUACCUAAUCAGAAAGCCACGGCUAACUACGUG
rnacentral:rRNA from 1 species